CCCAAAACAAUCCCAUAUAAACCAUACUUGACAAACCCUAAAUCCCUCUCAGCCUCUUUUCCAUCACUGUCGGGAAGGCAUCGAGCUGCAGCAACAAUGGUGUUCGUGAAGUCCCAGAAAUCUAGGGCCUACUUCAAGAGAUACCAAGUUAAGUUCAAGAGAAGAAGAGAGGGCAAGACCGAUUACCGUGCCCGGAUCCGGUUGAUUAACCAGGACAAGAACAAAUACAGUACCCCAAAGUACCGUUUUGUUGUUCGAUUUACAAACAAGGAUAUCACUGCACAAAUUGUGUCUGCUACCAUUGCUGGUGAUAUUGUUCUUGCUUCGGCAUAUGCUCAUGAGCUUCCCCGCUAUGGUCUUGAAAUAGGCCUUACAAACUAUGCUGCAGCUUAUUGCACUGGACUCCUGUUGGCCCGUCGAACCCUUCAAAAGCUUGAGAUGGAUGAGGAGUAUGAGGGGAAUGUUGAGGCUACUGGUGAGGAUUUUUCAGUGGAGCCUGCUGAGACUAGGAGGCCAUUCCGUGCUCUCCUUGAUGUUGGUCUUAUUAAGACCACAACAGGCAACCGUGUCUUUGGUGCCCUUAAGGGAGCUUUGGAUGGUGGUUUGGAUAUUCCUCACAGUGAGAAGAGGUUUGCUGGUUUUGAUAAGGAGAAGAAAGAGCUCGAUGCUGAGGUUCACCGCAAAUAUAUCUUUGGUGGACAUGUUGCUUCCUACAUGAAGACUUUGACUGAGGAUGAACCAGAGAAGUACCAAUCUCACUUUAGUGAGUAUAUCAAGCGAGGAAUAGAGGCUGAUGGACUUGAGGAACUCUACAAGAAGGUUCAUGCCGCCAUUCGUGCAGAUCCCAGCACAAAGAAAUCUGGGAAGCCAGAACCAAAGGAACACAAGCGGUACAACCUGAAGAAGCUUACCUAUGAUGAGAGAAAGAACAAGUUGAUUGCUCGCUUGCAAGCUCUCAACUCUGCGGCUGGAGAAGCUGACGAUGAUGAUGAGGACGAUGAGUGAAAGUGCGUUUCAUUAAGAGAAUCAUUUUCUUGAAAAUUUUGCUGCUUGUGUUAAUUAUUUCUAGUUAAAAUUUUUGGAUACUUUUCCAUAGGUCUAUUUUGGGUCAACUUUGUAAACCUGGAUGGAUUUUUAAACUUUAUUUUCUGUUGUAUGCAAGGAAUUAUUGUUUGCGGUGCUGUCGGUGUUGGUUGAGGAAUGAAACUUUCUCAAUUAAGUAAUGAAGUGUGUUUCCUACUAUCAUGUCUUUUUUCAA